ACUCCUAAAAGAUAGUGCAAGGAAGAAAGCGCAAAAGAGCCGAAAAAGAAAAGAAAAGAAAAGCUCAAAAAGGAAAACCUCAUGUUGCAUUAGGAUGAGAAUAAGGAGGAAAUUGACAGAAGAACUAACCACUAUCCUUAGAAAGGUUGCUGACAAGUUCAUAAAUUCCUUCUUUUCCCAAAGUAUCCUUCAGAUACAUAGCAGCAGAGACAACCUCCUCAGGAGAAGGAAAGGGCACAAAUUUCGGCCAACUAAGGCUCCCAAGUGAUGAAUUCAAUCACACAUAGAACGUGAAUGGAUAACAGCAUUUGGGAACCUUGUGGGUAUGUGAGUAGUGGUUAUUUCAUGGAAUGUAAAACCAUUUCAUACAUAGCUACAAAGAAAGUGAAAUAGGAUUUGGAAACUCUUGUAAGUGGUAGAUUUUUUUUUUUACUGUCUUGUGAGUGGUAGAUG